CGUCGGGAGCCGGGAAGGGGGCGGGGGCGGGGGCCGGAGGAGCUCCUCAGGGUGUCCGAGCCCACGCCCACGCCCACGGCAGGCCUGCCCUCCCGAAGUGCCAGCGCAGGGGACCGGGCAGGAGAGGACAGCCCCGGAGAGCCGUGCAGACGCAGCGGACGCAGCGGACACGUGCCCCGGCCGCAUCGUUCGCGGGGGCACGAGACUCGGCCCCUGCUUUUAGACGCCCCUGAACUUCACGACGGGUUUCUCGCAUCCCCGGGCUGGCUGCGUGGAGGGAAGCUGCUACCGGGCAGAGAACCCGGGAGAAGCAAGGACCUUGAUGGAGCCCGUGGACUUGGUUCCAAGACUGUCAGGGACAUAAGACCCUUCCCCAAGAAGUUUGCCUCUGUGGAGGGUUUUUGUUCAUGUCAGCUAGAGUUGUGUGGCAGAUGACUUCUGCUUGGCUAAAGGAUGCAUAUGUUUGAAAUUAGGACAGAAACGCGUCCAAUAUAAUCUGUCUCUCUGUGUGUCUCUCUCUCUAUCAUGCUCUUAUUUGUUUGACCCUCCUCCACCAACUCUACACUAUUACCUAUGUAUGAUAUUAUAUGCAUGUAUAAUGGAUAGUAUUCAUGGUACACAGUAGAGAAAGUUCUGUCUGCAUUAUAAAAAGGACAACCAAAUACCAACUUUUAAAGAAAUAAAAUAGGAAAUUUUA